rnacentral:lncRNA from 1 species
GGCUGACCUCUGAGGAUCACCCCUAUCCUCAGCCUCUUUCAAACGAACACCAGCCGAGGAGAGAGGUCAGGAGAAGACCCAUGAUAUUUUCCUGGGGCCUAAGUGGUUAUUUGGGGUUUAUUGCCAAUCAACAAUAAGAAGAAAACCUUAAAUUUACAUAGGACUUUAAGGAUUACAAAGUGCUUGCCACAUGGCAACCCUAUGAGAUGGGGUCACCAGCCUUCCAAAGGGGUCUAUGACACCCACAAAAGGUAAGAAUGUCAUGUGCUCUCCAGUCUAAGUAACUGUGGGCUCCAGUGACAUAGGAAGGCUCCAUGUAGAAGCUAGACUGUGCAGGACAGGUAGAGGAGGAUACGUUGGCAUAAAGAAGAAGGAACUUAAUAUCUGCUGCCUUCCCCUCGAAAGAAAGGAAAGUCCUCUGCUAUUGAGGAAGAGACAAGAGGAAAGUCACUUAUUCAGGGUUGGGACAGCUCUACCAGGGACACAGAAGUUCUCCACAUCGUCAUGGAGUGUGAAGCUAAACAUUUUCAGUUCAACAAGACAAGUUUCCUCCUUUCCUCCACCCUUGAUGUUUGAUCAGUCCCAGAAAUGUGUUCUGAUGAUAUCUUUGCAGAGUCUGUGUCCUGGACUGUAUUCAGGGAAUCUUCAUUUUAUUACAAAACUAGAUAAAGACUGGAGAACCACUUCUUAAGAAUACCACAGAGGAGGAUCCUACAUGAAGUAUGAGGUUGGAGGAGGUAAUUUUUAAACUAUCUUCCAAGGUUGAAGGGUAAGAUUAUUAAGAAAGAGCCAAACAAACCACUGGGUCUUGGCCAUCCUGGACCUUGACUAUCCAAAGGGAAUUAAUUUAU